rnacentral:misc_RNA from 1 species
AUCGAGUGAAGAAGAAGAAGAAGCCUCUUCCUUUUCUUUUUCCUUAUUAUUUAUUCUUCUUCUCUUAAGGUUGUCUUCCUUUUCCUUUUCCUCUUCCUCUUCCUUUUUGUUCUCUCAUGAUUCAAAAUGUCAUUUUGGUUCUCAUCCUCCUCCGGAUUCAGUAAGUCAUUGUGUUCCUUAUCCUCAGGUUCGCCUUCGUCGUCUUCCUCAUGUUUUUUUUUUUUCAAUGCUUAUUAUUGAAUUUUGAUGUCCAAUUUUGCUCCUGUUGUUGUGAAACUAGAAAUUAGAUGUCUUCCAAUAUUUGAAGAAGUGGUUGGUGAUCCUUGUCAUCCUGAUGCUCUUCAUUUCU